GUCCAUUUUUUCUGCCACCAUUUUUACUUUUUCCCUUGUUUUUUCCCUUGUUUUAUGUGACUUUGUUGCACGCAAACAGACACAGCAAAUGGAAGUACGAAA
rnacentral:ribozyme from 12 species